GGUUCCGGUCAGGGUGCUGCCUCCCUAUCCACUGGGAGUCCUUUUGCGUUUCAGAUGCUCCCAGGCUCUCCCGCAGUUUAAAGACUUAACUCAGCGGCUUUCAGGGCCUGUGGUUGAGGGACUCCGAAAGAACUGUUGCUGGUGGACCGGUUCAGGGUCUUGACUUCGCCACACAAAAGAACUUGAGAGCACGUCCAAAGUAAAGCUAAGACCUCUAGUACAGUGUUCAAUGGAACUGGUGAGAAAAGACGUCCUUGCUGUGUUCCUGAUAUGAAGAGGAAAGCAGUCCUUCUCCAUUAAAUGCUGACAACAUGAGCCUCCCGUGGUCGGAACGGGCUUGUGAAGGCGGUGCUGGGGUGCACCAGGGCAGCAGCUACAGAGAUGACAGAAGAGACAUCCAGGAGUAGAUUUCAAUGCACAGCAGCAGCUGAGAGAAGCCAGCUGUGAAAAAGUUGCCAGGAGCAAAGCUACUGAGGCCCUGAAGAGCUCAUCAGGUGAUGACAGCGCCUGCUGGGAUGUCAGGGAAAAGAGGAGCUGGGGCCACUGGGCCUCUCUGACAAACAGAAAGCCAGGCCUGAAACCCGAGUAGCGUUUGUAUCCACCUCCCUCAGUCCAUGUGUGGCCGCCUGGCCGGCUGCUGUCUUAGUUCCUCCACGUGGCACUUGUUGAGCACCUGUCUCUGGCUGGAAUGCCGGGUGCCAGAAGAAACUCUGCAAGUAAAACUCAACCAUCCCAGGACACUGGAAAAUCACCACUGUGAUGGGCCAACUCUGGUUCCCAGUGACAUUGUAAGUUGCUCCCGAAUCGCCUUUUCCAAGGCUUAAUCGGCUGAAGUCGAUGUGCAGAAACUCAUCAACAGAACUUUCAGAAAGGAGAAGCGAAAAUGGGCUGCCCCGAAGAUGAGGUCUUGCACCUCGCCAAGUGGCUCCUAAAAGGCCACUUAUUGGAAGGAUCCCUGUCUUCUAAAGAAUUGAAAUUUCUUGGCCGGGCAUGUUGGCUCACGCCUGUAAUCCCAGCAAUUUGGGAGGCCAAAGCGGGUGGGUCACCUGAGGUCAGGAGUUCAAGACCAGCCUGGCCAACAUGGUGAAACCCCAUCUCUACUAAAAAUACAAAAAUUACCCGGGCAUGCUGGCAGGCACCUGUAAUCCUAGCUAAGGAGGCUGAGACAAGAGAAUUGCUUGAAUCUGGGAGGCGGAGGUUGCACUGAACCGAGAUUGUGCCAUUGCACUCCAGCCCGGGCUAAACUCUGUCUCAAAAAAAAAAAAAAAAAA
ensembl:lncRNA MIR646HG MIR646 host gene